AUCGCUCCUUGGCCUUUUGGCUAAUAUCAAGUGUAGUAUCUGUUCUUAUCAGUUUAAUAUACAAGAGAUGCCUGGAAAGCUGUUCACUAAAUGGUUAACAUUAACCUAAGAAUCUAA
ensembl:snRNA U2 U2 spliceosomal RNA